rnacentral:rRNA from 1 species
GACGAACGCUGGCGGCGUGCCUAAUACAUGCAAGUUGAGCGAUGAAGAUUGGUGCUUGCACCAAUUUGAAGAGCAGCGAACGGGUGAGUAACGCGUGGGGAAUCUGCCUUUGAGCGGGGGACAACAUUUGGAAACGAAUGCUAAUACCGCAUAAUAACUUUAAACAUAAGUUUUAAGUUUGAAAGAUGCAAUUGCAUCACUCAAAGAUGAUCCCGCGUUGUAUUAGCUAGUCGGUGAGGUAAAGGCUCACCAAGGCGAUGGUACAUAGCCGACCUGAGAGGGUGAUCGGCCACAUUGGGACUGAGACACGGCCCAAACUCCUACGGGAGGCAGCAGUAGGGAAUCUUCGGCAAUAGACGAAAGUCUGACCGAGCAACGCCGCGUGAGUGAAGAAGGUUUUCGGAUCGUAAAACUCUGUUGGUAGAGAAGAACGUUGGUGAGAGUGGAAAGCUCAUCAAGUGACGGUAACUACCCAGAAAGGGACGGCUAACUACGUG